rnacentral:lncRNA from 1 species
CCUCUGAUGCUUUCACCAUCACCGCUGCUGGACCGAAUCACCAUCUCAAGAUGGAAGAUACGCUCUUGGUUUGCCCCUGCUUCGGGUGGGUCUGCCCUUGCUACCCCUCUUAUAUAGCAAUUAGCAGUUAUCCCAAGCAAAUUGUAAAUACUACACUGGCGUGGGCAGAUCAAUAACCACUGGACUCGAUGGCCUCCUCGACAUUCGACAGAAAAAUGAUAUGCUAAAUACACUUACAAGAUACUCGCUACUAAGGUUAUGAAAGAAGGCAACAAAAUCAACAAUAGAAUAUAACUCCAGAUCUAUGAAUAGCAGCGCUCGAUUACUGGAACCAAACAACACCCCU